UACGAAGGGGCUAGCGUUGCUCGGAAUCACUGGGCGUAAAGCGCACGUAGGCGGAUUGUUAAGUCAGGGGUGAAAUCCUGGAGCUCAACUCCAGAACUGCCUUUGAUACUGGCGAUCUCGAGUCCGGGAGAGGUGAGUGGAACUGCGAGUGUAGAGGUGAAAUUCGUAGAUAUUCGCAAAGAACACCAGUGGCGAAGGCGGCUCACUGGCCCGGUACUGACGCUGAGGUGCGAAAGCGUGGGGAGCAAACAGGG
rnacentral:rRNA from 1 species